ACAAGCAAAAAUGACACACAUGCAAAGGACAAAGGCAUAUAUUAGUUCUGUGAAAGAAAGCAAAACCAGCGUUACUUACCUAUCAAGAAGGGAAAAAGCAACCUCGGCGUCCCUUCACAGGCCUUCCCGCUCCUUCAGUUCUCUCCAGCGCUGGAAAGCUGAUCCUAUAUUUACAUGGGUACUGCUUCUUUCCCUAUCGUAAGCCAUUUUUCGCUAUUCAGUUUUAUCUGCCAUGUUAAUGUUUCAAUCACUUUCGGCUAAUGUCACACAUGCGCACUGAACACUCUCACGCAUAUUGACAAGACACGCCCCUUUCUGCUCAUUGGCUACACGUUUGUUUUGUUUGUCAGCCCGACUCAGCUUUCUGAAGCAUUUCAGAAAGCCUUUAAGUAUAUUCCUUUAUACUGAUGCAUACAACUUCUGCACAAACUUUUAAACACAACAUUUGAGUUUCAUCAACCAAAUUUUGCAGCAUAACAACAAAAUUAUUCAACACAUUUUCACAAAUGCAUUUAUACUCAGAAACUAUUACAUUUCAACUUAUUACACAUCCAACAAUGCACAUACAUUGUAUUAACUCCCAGUCUUUGUAUUUUUUUAGGUAUUCUUACAAUUCUUCCAGUCCUUGUACGAACAACAGCUGGCUUCCAUGAAUCUCCCUUUUGCAUCUUAUUCCUUCUCCAGGUUGCAGAUUAGGUAGCACAUCUGGAUACUGCAUCUUCAAUUUGUGUCGACAUUCCUGG